GACGAACGCUGGCGGCGUGCUUAACACAUGCAAGUCGAACGAAGCGGCGAACGGGUGAGUAAGACGUGGGUAACAUGCCCUCCUUUUAGGGAUAAGCAUUGGAAACGGGGUCUAAUACCGACUCAGGGGGGAUGGGCUCGCGGCCUACCAGUUUGUUGGUGGGGUGAUGGACUACCAAGGCGGUGACGGGUAGCAGGCCUGAGAGGGUGACCGGCCACGUUAGGACGGAGCUACGGCCCAGACUCCUACGGGAGGCAGCAGUGGGGGAUAUUGCACAAUGGGCUAAAUGCUGAUGCAGCGACGCCGCGUGGAUGAUGAAGGCUUUCGUGGUGAAAACCUCUUACGCUAUCGAACGUGUAGGUGGAGAAUAAGCGUCGGCUAACUACGGGCCAGCAGCCGCGGUAAUAC
rnacentral:rRNA from 1 species